rnacentral:rRNA from 1 species
CUACGGGCGGCUCCAGUGGGGAAUAUUGCACAAUGGAGGAAACUCUGAUGCAGCAACGCCGCGUGGAGGAUGACACUUUUCGGAGCGUAAACUCCUUUUAUAUAGGAAGAAGAUGACGGUACUAUAUGAAUAAGCGCCGGCUAACUCCGUGCCAGCGGCCGCGGUAAUACGGGGGCGCAAGCGUUACUCGGAAUCACUGGGCGUAAAGAGCGUGUAGGCGGAUUAAAAAGUCAGAAGUGAAAUCCUAUAGCUUAACUAUAGAACUGCUUCUGAAACUCUUAAUCUAGAAUAUGGGAGAGGUAGAUGGAAUUUCUGGUGUAGGGGUAAAAUCCGUAGAGAUCAGAAGGAAUACCGAUUGCGAAGGCGAUCUACUAGAACAUUAUUGACGCUGAGACGCGAAAGCGUGGGGAGCAAACAGGAUUAGAUACCCGGGUAGUC